AAGUCGUAACAAGGUAACCGUAGGUGAACCUGCGGUUGGAUCAUUAUUGAAUCUUUUUUUAGUGAUUGACGCUGAAAUUAUUAUUUUUUUCAAACUCAAUCAACUAAAUUUAAACUCCAAAAUUUCUUGUGAUAUUUAUUUUAGUACUUGGUCUAAAAAAAUUUUUAAACCUUAUUUUUUUAGGCCUAUAACUAUGAAAAACUCGUAUUUUGUUAUUAAACUAUUUUUUUUCUUCAAAUAUAUUGAAAAAAAAAACAACUUUUGACAACGGAUCUCUUGGCUCUC
rnacentral:misc_RNA from 1 species